AGAACGAACGCUGGCGGCAUGCCUAACACAUGCAAGUCGAACGUGAUCCAGGCUUCGGCCUGGUGAAAGUGGCAGACGGGUGAGUAACGCGUGGGAACCUGCCCUGUGGUAGGGAAUAACCGUGGGAAACUGCGGCUAAUACCCUAUGAGUCCUUCGGGAGAAAGAUUUAUCGCCAUAGGAGGGGCCCGCGUCGGAUUAGGUAGUUGGUGGGGUAACGGCCUACCAAGCCUUCGAUCCGUAGCUGGUCUGAGAGGAUGAUCAGCCACACUGGGACUGAGAUACGGCCCAGACUCCUACGGGAGGCAGCAGUGGGAAUAUUGGACAAUGGGGGGCAACCCUGAUCCAGCAAUGCCGCGUGGAUGAUGAAGGCCUUCGGGUUGUAAAGUCCUUUCGGCGGGGAAGAUGAUGACGGUACCCGCAGAAGAACGCCCCGGCUAACUUCGCGCCAGCAGCCGC
rnacentral:rRNA from 1 species